UUUAGGAAUCGAACCCGCGCCAGCGUGACUACUAAUGCUGCAGUGUUGGAACGUAAGACAAUCACGAUACCGUCUGAGCCACUAUGGCUCCCGGAAAAAUACAGAUUUCUAACUUCAAGAAAUAAAAAUCGACAGACGUUUACUGCUAGUUACUGAAAUAAAUUUCCCGUAAUGAUUACUUCCUAAUUGAUCCAAAGAAGAUCAGAAAAAGUGAUGACAAGCUCAAGUUGCUGGCCUCAGCUUAUACCAGCAGUUUUUUUUCGCCUAUAAAGAAAAUUCUUUGCUAUCGGAGAUUUAAUUGCAAGAAUCCCGUAAAAAUGGAUUUCAAAAUGAAAAUCAAGUGGUUGAUCGUGGAAUUCAGUAUGCACUGCGCGCCACAUCUUGGCGAGAAAAAUUGAAAAUUAAUUACCUCUUAUCGAGUCUCCACCUCGGCAACAGCCAUCGAGAAUGUCAAUCAGCUAACAAAAAAGAAAAAUGAUGAACGUCUACAUUCUUUUGAUUGCACUUUACUGAAUA